AAACAGCCCCCUAUGUUUUGAUUCUUUGGCAGUUUUGGACCCCCAAGGCAAAAAAAAAAAAAAAAAAUUUGACACGUGGCACCUCACUUAGGGUGCCACGUCAGCGUUGACCGAGUCAACAAUCGACUGGGGGUCCAAAACUGCCAAAAAAACAAAACAUAGGGGGCUGUUU
rfam:Medicago truncatula strain A17 chromosome 3, whole genome shotgun sequence.